rnacentral:rRNA from 1 species
CCACUGCUAUCGGGAUAGGACUAAGACAUGCUAGUCAUGCGCUUUCUAGCUAAUGUGAGAGCGCGGCGUACAGCUCAGUAACACGUGGCUAACCUGCCCUUGGGACGGGAAUACCCCCGGGAAACUGGGGCUAAUUCUCGAUAAGUGAAGAAUUCUGGAAUGAAUUUUCGCUCAAAGGACAUUUAUGUCAUGCUCAUAGAUGUUGCCCAGGGAUGGGGCCGCGUCCGAUCAGGUAGUUGGUGAGGUAAUGGCCCACCAAGCCUUUUACCGGUGCGGGCCGUGAGAGCGGGAGCCCGGAGAUGGGCACUGAGACAAGGGCCCAGGCCCUACGGGGCGCAGCAGUCGCGAAAACUUUGCAAUACACGAAAGUGUGACAAGGCUAUCCCGAGUGCCAUCCGCUGAGGAAGGCUUUUACCCAGUAUAAAUAGCUGGGAGAAUAAGGAGAGGGCAAGUCUGGUGUCAGCCGCCGCGGUAAUACCAGCUCUCCGAGUAGUGUGGAUGUUUAUUGGACCUAAAGCAUCCGUAGCUUGCUAUACAAGUCCCCUGUUAAAUCCACCGAUUUAAUCGUUGGAUUGCGGGGGAUACUGUUUGGCUAGGGGACGGGAGAGGCCGACGGUAUUUCCGGGGUAGGGGUGAAAUCCUAUAAUCCCGGGAAGACCACCAGUGGCGAAGGCUGUCGGCUA